rnacentral:snoRNA from 1 species
UUGCAUGUAGAAAUGUCUUCCCCUUGUUCCUUUAGGGGCAGGAAUACAUAUAUAACAUGCCACAUUAAAAAAGGAGUUCUCAGGGCUGCCAACCUUACAGUAGAGAUUAAGUGGCAGUAUGUUUCUCAUACAUAA